UACGUAGGGCGCAAGCGUUGUCCGGAAUUAUUGGGCGUAAAGAGCUCGUAGGCGGCUUGUCACGUCGGAUGUGAAAGCCCGAGGCUUAACCUCGGGUCUGCAUUCGAUACGGGCUAGCUAGAGUGUGGUAGGGGAGAUCGGAAUUCCUGGUGUAGCGGUGAAAUGCGCAGAUAUCAGGAGGAACACCGGUGGCGAAGGCGGAUCUCUGGGCCGUAACUGACGCUGAGGAGCGAAAGCGUGGGGAGCAAACAGG
rnacentral:rRNA from 1 species